UACGAAGGGGGCUAGCGUUGUUCGGAAUUACUGGGCGUAAAGCGCGCGCAGGCGGCUAUCCAAGUCAGUGGUGAAAGCCCGGAGCUCAACUCCGGAACUGCCAUUGAAACUGUUUAGCUGGAGUAUGAGAGAGGUGAGUGGAAUUCCCAGUGUAGAGGUGAAAUUCGUAGAUAUUGGGAAGAACACCGGUGGCGAAGGCAGCUCGCUGGGACGUGACUGACGCUGAGACGCGAAAGCGUGGGGAGCAAACAGG
rnacentral:rRNA from 1 species